rnacentral:rRNA from 1 species
GUAGGUGGCAAGCGUUGUCCGGAGUUAUUGGGCGUAAAGCGCGCGCAGGUGGUUCUUUAAGUCUGAUGUGAAAGCCCCCGGCUCAACCGGGGAGGGUCAUUGGAAACUGGGGAACUUGAGUGCAGGAGAGGAAAGUGGAAUUCCACGUGUAGCGGUGAAAUGCGUAGAUAUGUGGAGGAACACCAGUGGCGAAGGCGACUUUCUGGCCUGUAACUGACACUGAGGCGCGAAAGCGUGGGGAGCAAACAGGGAUUAGAUACCCUGGUAGUCCACGCCGUAAACGAUGAGUGCUAAGUGUUGGGGGGGGUUUCCCGCCCCUCAGUGCUGCAGCUAACGCAUUAAGCACUCCGCCUGGGGAUACGGCCGCAAGACUG